AUGGUAACUUGUUGGGAAGAAGCUAUUCAUGGCUCUUGAAAAAAUUAUGUAUGGAGUUUGGAGUGAGGGAAGUUGCACUCUCCUCCAAAUAACGCCAUCUAUGCUUGGUCAUUGUUUCUGCUAAACUCUGCAGAGCUUUUGGCUAAUGCAUUGCAAACCGGCAAGUCACAGAACGGCGAAGGAGACUCCAUCAAGGGUCUU